rnacentral:rRNA from 1 species
GCAAGUCGAGGGGUAACAGGAGAGCUUGCUCUCGCUGACGACCGGCGCACGGGUGCGUAACGCGUAUGCAAUCUACCUUCAACUGAGGGAUAGCCCGAGGAAACUCGGAUUAAUACCUCAUAAUUUUAGUUUAUGGCCUCAUAUACUAUUUAAAGCUCCGGCGGUUGAAGAUGAGCAUGCGUGACAUUAGUUUGUUGGUAAGGUAACGGCUUACCAAGACUACGAUGUCUAGGGGUUCUGAGAGGAUGAUC